rnacentral:sRNA from 1 species
GUCAGUUACGAAGAGGCGACCUGGAGA